rnacentral:lncRNA from 1 species
ACGCAGCCCACCAGCUUGCAGGGAGGGCAGACCCUGGGGGAUGUGAGGGAGGCUUUCUCACGCAGACCCUAAAACGGUGAGCGCCAGGGAGCCCCGCCUGCUUGUCCCCUCCCCAGAUCCCUCGGGCUCUGGAGACCUUGCGGGCCCCCUGUCCGUGACCACCUGAAACAGGUCCUGGAGCUGCUACUGCUGGCUUAGGCUGGUUGGUGGAAAGGAUCCAGGGCUGUUGUGAAGGCCUUGGGGAGUCCAGAAGCCGCCUGGCACCUUCUGGGUCCAGACGCUGCCCUUCAGCCCUGCCAUUUCAGCCAGCCUCAGCGUCGCUGUAGAGGCAGGCCGCCCUUUCUGCCACUGUCUGGCUGGGCUGGGCCGUGGGAGUGCUGGCCAACGUGCCAGGCAGGGAGGACCUGAAUUCCUGAAGGUGGUGGUGGCAGCUGUUAGGGUCCACAGGUUAAUGAUCUCCAACGUCACACAGAAGAGAAUGUGCUGAGGUGUGACCUCCCUCACCCUGCCUUGGCUGCGUGGGGCACCGUCUCUCCAGGACUCACCCUGCCCCCCAAUAGACUGAAGUCUGAAGAUCAGCCCAGUCUUCCUUCAGGCCUCAAUGCCCUCUCACUUCCCCAGCCCGAGGGACUCCUGGCUCUUCUCGGAGGCUGCUCUGUGGGGUCCCUCCCUUGGGCCUUUGCUAAUGCUGUGCCCUCUGCCUGUGCCAGAGGUGGGCCUGGGCCCGUUUCUCAGGGAGCUCCUGAACACCAAGAAAUUGAAUUGCUUUGUAAAUAAACAAAAAGUGCCAAACAA